AAGUCGUAACAAGGUUUCCGUAGGUGAACCUGCGGAAGGAUCAUUAAAAAAUGAGGUAUUUUAUACCUCUUGUAUUUAAAACCCAACUCUAAAAUAUAAAUUUUUAAUAAAAAAAAAAAACUUUCAACAAUGGAUCUCUUGGCUCUC
rnacentral:misc_RNA from 1 species